UUGUUCUCUAAAUAGGGACUUGUAUGAAUGGCCACACGAGGGUUUAACUGUCUCUUACUCCCAAUCAGUGAAAUUGACCUUCCCGUGAAGAGGCGGGAAUACCACAAUAAGACGAGAAGACCCUAUGGAGCUUUAAUUAACUAACCCAAACUUAUGGAUACUAGAUACCUACAAGGCAUAACAUAACACCAUUAUUAUGAGUUAGCAAUUUAGGUUGGGGUGACCUCGGAAUAUAAAAAAACUCCCGAGUGAUUAAAAUUUAGACCCACAAGUCAAAAUACAACAUCACUUAUUGAUCCAAUAAUUUUUGAUCAACGGAACAAGUUACCCUAGGGAUAACAGCGCAAUCCUAUUCAAGAGUCCAUAUCGACAAUAGGGUUUACGACCUCGAUGUUGGAUCAGGACAUCCUAAUGGUGCAGCAGCUAUUAAGGGUUCGUUU
rnacentral:rRNA from 1 species